AAUAUGAUCGCCAAAGAAAAGAAAGAAGAAAGGUUGGAAUCCCCACCAAAGGAUCGGCAGCAUUUCUAUUCUCCACCCCAACAUUGGAGGUCCAGAACUCCCUCACAAAACCAUGGACAAAAGGAUAAUUUUAGAAGAGAGCAGUGUGUAUCUCUACCUAGGAAGUUUAUGGACUACAUUGGUUGAACGCUACUCGAGCUCAAAUACAGAUGGAAAUCAG
rnacentral:lncRNA from 1 species